rnacentral:rRNA from 1 species
UGCAAGUCGAGCGGGCGUAGCAAUACGUCAGCGGCAGACGGGUGAGUAACGCGUGGGAAUCUACCCAUCUCUACGGAACAACUCCGGGAAACUGGAGCUAAUACCGUAUACGUCCUUAUGGAGAAAGAUUUAUCGGAGAUGGAUGAGCCCGCGUUGGAUUAGCUAGUUGGUGGGGUAAUGGCCUACCAAGGCGACGAUCCAUAGCUGGUCUGAGAGGAUGAUCAGCCACACUGGGACUGAGACACGGCCCAGACUCCUACGGGAGGCAGCAGUGGGGAAUCUUAGACAAUGGGCGCAAGCCUGAUCUAGCCAUGCCGCGUGGGUGAUGAAGGCCUUAGGGUCGUAAAGCCCUUUCGCCGGGGAAGAUAAUGACGGUACCCGGUAAAGAAACCCCGGCUAACUCCGUGCCAGCAGCCGCGGUAAU